AUUGAACGCUGGCGGCGGGCUUAAUACAUGCAAGUCGAGGGGUGGUAGCAAUACUACACCGGCGCACGGGUGCGUAACGCGUAUGCAAUCUACCUUUAUCUGGGGGAUAGCCCGGGGAAACCCGGAUUAAUACCGCAUAACAAAUUUCUUGGCAUCAAGAGAUUUUAAAAGAUUUAUCGGAUAGAGAUGAGCAUGCGUAAGAUUAGAUAGUUGGCGAGGUAACGGCUCACCAAGUCUACGAUCUUUAGGGGCUCUGAGAGGAGAAUCCCCCACGCUGGUACUGAGAUACGGGCCAGACUCCUACGGGAGGCAGCAGUAGGGAAUAUUGGGCAAUGGGCGCAAGCCUGACCCAGCCACGCCGCGUGCAGGAAGAAGGCCCUCUGGGUUGUAAACUGCUUUUGACUGGGAAGAAAAGACUCCUUGCGAGGAGAGUUGACGGUACCAGCAGAAUAAGCCACGGCUAACUACGUGCCAGCAGCCGCGGUAACAC
rnacentral:rRNA from 1 species